rnacentral:tRNA from 1 species
GAAGUUAAAGCUCAGUGGUAGAGCACUUGCCUAGCAUGUAUGAGGCACUGGGUUCAAUCCUCAGCACCAUCU